ACGCUGGCGGCAGGCCUAACACAUGCAAGUCGAGCGGUAGCACGGGAGAGCUUGCUCUCUGGGUGACGAGCGGCGGACGGGUGAGUAAUGUCUGGGAAACUGCCUGAUGGAGGGGGAUAACUACUGGAAACGGUAGCUAAUACCGCAUGACCUCGCAAGAGCAAAGUGGGGGACCUUCGGGCCUCACGCCAUCGGAUGUGCCCAGAUGGGAUUAGCUAGUAGGUGGGGUAAUGGCUCACCUAGGCGACGAUCCCUAGCUGGUCUGAGAGGAUGACCAGCCACACUGGAACUGAGACACGGUCCAGACUCCUACGGGAGGCAGCAGUGGGGAAUAUUGCACAAUGGGCGCAAGCCUGAUGCAGCCAUGCCGCGUGUGUGAAGAAGGCCUUAGGGUUGUAAAGCACUUUCAGCGAGGAGGAAGGCGUUGUAGUUAAUAGCUGCAGCGAUUGACGUUACUCGCAGAAGAAGCACCGGCUAACUCCGUGCCAGCAGCCGCGGUAAUACGGAGGGUGCAAGCGUUAAUCGGAAUUACUGGGCGUAAAGCGCACGCAGGCGGUCUGUUAAGUCAGAUGUGAAAUCCCCGAGCCUUAACUUGGGAACUGCAUUUGAAACUGGCAAGCUAGAGUCUUGUAGAGGGGGGUAGAAUUCCAGGUGUAGCGGUGAAAUGCGUAGAGAUCUGGAGGAAUACCGGUGGCGAAGGCGGCCCCCUGGACAAAGACUGACGCUCAGGUGCGAAAGCGUGGGGAGCAAAC
rnacentral:rRNA from 1 species